GGGAUGGAGCAGCAUGGUAGCUCGUCGGGCUCAUAACCCGAAGGUCGUUGGUUCAAAUCCAGCUCCCGCAACCA
rnacentral:tRNA from 1 species